CACUGCCGAGAAAAGCCUCUAGAUAGAAAAUAGGUGCCCGUACCGCAAACCGACACAGGUAGUCAAGAUGAGAAUUCUAAGGUGAGCGAGCGAACUCUCGUUAAGGAACUCGGCAAAAUGACCCCGUAACUUCGGGAGAAGGGGUGCUCUUUAGGGUUAACGCCCAGAAGAGCCGCAGUGAAUAGGCCCAAGCGACUGUUUAUCAAAAACACAGGUCUCUGCUAAACCGUAAGGUGAUGUAUAGGGGCUGACGCCUGCCCGGUGCUGGAAGGUUAAGAGGAGUGGUUAGCUUCUGCGAAGCUACGAAUCGAAGCCCCAGUAAACGGCGGCCGUAACUAUAACGGUCCUAAGGUAGCGAAAUUCCUUGUCGGGUAAGUUCCGACCCGCACGAAAGGCGUAACGAUUUGGGCACUGUCUCAACGAGAGACUCGGUGAAAUCAUAGUACCUGUGAAGAUGCAGGUUACCCGCGACAGGACGGAAAGACCCCGUGGAGCUUUACUGUAGCCUGAUAUUGAAAUUCGGCACAGCUUGUACAGGAUAGGUAGGAGCCUUUGAAACGUGAGCGCUAGCUUACGUGGAGGCGCUGGUGGGAUACUACCCUAGCUGUGUUGGCUUUCUAACCCGCACCACUUAUCGUGGUGGGAGACAGUGUCAGGCGGGCAGUUUGACUGGGGCGGUCGCCUCCUAAAAGGUAACGGAGGCGCUCAAAGGUUCCCUCAGAAUGGUUGGAAAUCAUUCAUAGAGUGUAAAGGCAUAAGGGAGCUUGACUGCGAGACCUACAAGUCGAGCAGGGUCGAAAGACGGACUUAGUGAUCCGGUGGUUCCGCAUGGAAGGGCCAUCGCUCAACGGAUAAAAGCUACCCCGGGGAUAACAGGCUUAUCUCCCCCAAGAGUUCACAUCGACGGGGAGGUUUGGCACCUCGAUGUCGGCUCAUCGCAUCCUGGGGCUGUAGUCGGUCCCAAGGGUUGGGCUGUUCGCCCAUUAAAGCGGUACGCGAGCUGGGUUCAGAACGUCGUGAGACAGUUCGGUCCCUAUCCGUCGUGGGCGUAGGAAAUUUGAGAGGAGCUGUCCUUAGUACGAGAGGACCGGGAUGGACAUACCUCUGGUGUACCAGUUGUCGUGCCAACGGCAUAGCUGGGUAGCUAUGUGUGGACGGGAUAAGUGCUGAAAGCAUCUAAGCAUGAAGCCCCCCUCAAGAUGAGAUUUCCCAACUUCGGUUAUAAGAUCCCUCAAAGAUGAUGAGGUUAAUAGGUUCGAGGUGGAAGCAUGGUGACAUGUGGAGCUGACGAAUACUAAUCGAUCGAA
rnacentral:rRNA from 1 species